rnacentral:rRNA from 1 species
GACGAACGCUGGCGGCGUGCUUAACACAUGCAAGUCGAACGGAAAGGCCUGCUUUCCCUUGUGGAUUGCGGGUACUCGAGUGACGAACGGGUGAGUAACACGUGAGUGAUCUGCCCCCAACUUGGGUAUAAGCCUGGGAAACUGGGUCUAAUUCCCGAUAGGACUGCAGGGUGGUGCCUGUGGUGGAAAACGAUUUUCUAGUGGUUGGGGAUGAGCUCGCGGCCUAUCAGCUUGUUGGUGGGGUAAUGGCCUACCAAGGCGGCGACGGGUAGCCGGCCUGAGAGGGUGGACGGCCACAUUGGGACUGAGAUACGGCCCAGACUCCUACGGGAGGCAGCAGUGGGGAAUAGUGCACAAUGGGCGGAAGCCUGAUGCAGCGACGCCGCGUGGGGGAUGACGGCCUUCGGGUUGUAAACUCCUUUCGACCGCGAGGAAGCCACCUGGUUGGAAGGGUGGUGACGGUAGUGGUAGAAGAAGCACCGGCUAACUACGUG